rnacentral:rRNA from 1 species
UACGUAGGGGGCUAGCGUUGUCCGGAAUCACUGGGCGUAAAGCGCACGUAGGCGGAUUGUUAAGUCAGGGGUGAAAUCCUGGAGCUCAACUCCAGAACUGCCUUUGAUACUGGCGAUCUCGAGUCCGGGAGAGGUGAGUGGAACUGCGAGUGUAGAGGUGAAAUUCGUAGAUAUUCGCAAGAACACCAGUGGCGAAGGCGGCUCACUGGCCCGGUACUGACGCUGAGGUGCGAAAGCGUGGGGAGCAAACAGGG